AUUUAACUAUACUUCUCAACUCAGCAAGCUGAAGAGAACUUUUGACCACAAGAAGAAAGCAAUAGAAGGGUUAGCUCAGACUGAAGAUCCUACAGAAGAUGACUGGUAUGAGAUGAGAAAAAAAUUUAAAUGGCAAAGCAGAGUCAUAGAGGGAUUAUCUUCAAGGGUGAUGAAGCUGAAAGAUCAACUAUGGAUGUUUGA
rnacentral:sRNA from 1 species